GACGAACGCUGGCGGCGUGCCUAAUACAUGCAAGUAGAACGCACAGUUUAUACCGUAGCUUGCUACACCAUAGACUGUGAGUUGCGAACGGGUGAGUAACGCGUAGGUAACCUGCCUGGUAGCGGGGGAUAACUAUUGGAAACGAUAGCUAAUACCGCAUAAUAUUGAUUAUUGCAUGAUAAUUAAUUGAAAGGUGCAAUUGCACCACUACCAGAUGGACCUGCGUUGUAUUAGCUAGUAGGUGAGGUAACGGCUCACCUAGGCGACGAUACAUAGUCGACCUGAGAGGGUGAUCGGCCACACUGGGACUGAGACACGGCCCAGACUCCUACGGGAGGCAGCAGUAGGGAAUCUUCGGCAAUGGACGAAAGUCUGACCGAGCAACGCCGCGUGAGUGAAGAAGGUUUUCGGAUCGUAAAGCUCUGUUGUAAGAGAAGAACGGGUGUGAGGGUGGAAAGUUCACACUGUGACGGUAUCUUACCAGAAAGGGACGGCUAACUACGUG
rnacentral:rRNA from 1 species